AAGCUAGUCUCUCCUCUCUUGCUCAACCCUUUGGUGCGCAGGCAGACUAUACGCCACCGACCACAAGUUCGAACCGAUAGCGCCACUAAGUUCAGCAUGCCAUUCGUAUGUUAAAGCCGCCAACGACCAUUAAGCACCGCCACCACCUUGACUCAUUACCGAUGUAUGGCUCGCAAUCAGCGCCACCGUUGUUUUAGAUUUGCCACCUUCUGUCACCAUGAGUCGCCAUUGCCGCUGUUUCGUUCUUUCGAUCAGAAGAGGUUAGCGUGCGUUUUCCAAACGAGUUGGUUAUGUGAUUGCUUUGCUUGCUAAACUAAGGUAAUAUAGGAUGAUCUGGGAUCUCAGUGAGGAGCGUUAGGAAGUUGUUGGCCAAGAUUCUUUAUUUCAGUAAUGUAAUAAAUGUAAUUAGGAUAUUUUAUUUAAUGCUAUGGGUUUUUAGUUUUGAUAUCUGUAAGAGUGACAUGUUAGCUCUAGCGGGGUUGGGGUGUUACAUAGCAACUGAUGACAGAGCAGACAACAAGGACAACGGUCAGGCUACGUGGGUCCAAUCAACGCGCGCCAGCUCUCCUCUCGCCCAGAAGCACCAACGGUCGUGGCAGAGGGGACAAAACGAAUAUUCCUUGUUGUCAACGACAAGGCACAAGGCCCAUCAGCCCAUCAUCUUCCACACAACUCUGGCUAUAAAUAGGAACCUUCAUCUACAGGUUUAAGGAUCCACUUACUCUCUUACUCCUAAUUACAUACUUAAUCCUCGAUACACAUACUUAAUCUCACGCCGGAGAGUGGUUAAGAGGAGGAUCCCCUUAUUCCCCUCCUCUUAAUGAGCUUAACGGGGUGUUUAGUGUUUGCAGGAGAACCACCAUCACGGCUUGGA